ACCUGCGGCCAUGCCGCCCUGAACAAGCCCGAUCCCAUCUGAUCUCAGAAGCUAAGCAGGAUUGGGCCUGGUUAGUACUUGGAUGGGAGACCACCUAUGAAGACGAGAUGAUGUAGGCA
rnacentral:rRNA from 1 species